ACGCUGGCGGCAUGUCCUACACAUGCAAGAAGAACGGUAACGCGGGGCAACCUGGCGACGAGUGGCGAACGGUUUACAAAGUAUCGGAACGUGCCCAGUAGUGGGGGAUAGCCCGGCGAAAGCCGGAUUAAUACCGCAUGAGACCUGAGGGUGAAAGCGGGGGAUCGCAAGACCUCGCGCUAUUGGAGCGGCCGAUAUCAGAUUAGGUAGUUGGUGGGGUAAAGGCCUACCAAGCCGACGAUCUGUAGCUGGUCUGAGAGGACGACCAGCCACACUGGGACUGAGACACGGCCCAGACUCCUACGGGAGGCAGCAGUGGG
rnacentral:rRNA from 1 species